rnacentral:tRNA from 1 species
CUCACCAUAGCUCAGUUGGUAGAGCGCAGGACUGUAAUGAUAUAGCUGCCAUCCUGAGGUCUCUGGUUCGAUCCCAGGUGGUGAGA